rfam:Camelus ferus unplaced genomic scaffold scaffold769, whole genome shotgun sequence.
GAGGGUACAGCUCAGUGGUAGAGUGCAUAUUUAGCAUGCACAAGGUCCUGGGUUCAAUACCCAGUACCUCCA